rnacentral:lncRNA from 15 species
GUAAUGUAUAUGUUUGUCCAAUAGAUGCCCUCUGGCCACAAUGUGUUUUUUACAUAUUUCUUCACAUUGUUCUACAUGUUUUUAUAGAAACAACUGCAGCCCCCACUUUAAAUACUACAGCUACAACAAAUACAAUGGCCAGUGCUGCAACUCCAAUUAUUGCUGCUACAACUACAACAACAACGGUCACAACUACAACCACAACAACUCCCACAACCACUACAUCUGUAGCGACAACUGCUGAGGCAGUCACACAAAGGCGGCUGACUUUUAGAUCUGCUGGACAGACAUUUACAAGUGACUUGCUGAAUCCAUCAUCUGCAGCAUUUACAAGUCAAGCCACAAUGAUAAAGUCAACACUUGAACCUUUCUACCGAAACGCAUUUCCUUCAUUCCGCUCCUUGACAGUGAUUUCUUUCAGUAAUGGAUCAAUCAUCAACACCAUGGACCUAGGAUUUGCAUCUGCAUCUGUACCUAAUGACACUCAGAUUGGAAAUACUUUGGUCAGCGCAGCUUCAAACAUCACAGCCUUCAACAUUGACACCACUUCCAUUUCUGUGAAUGGCACACCUGUAGCUUCAACAACUGGUGCACCAACUACAACUGGAGGUUCAACAACAACAAUUAGUGGGUCAACUACAACUGGAGGUUCAACGACAACUACUGGAUCCACAACAACCUCUGCUUCAACAACAUCUGUUGGAACAACAGCAACAACAACUACUACAACUAAUGCACCUGUCCAGCCAGUUGUGGUUAUCGCAGCAAUCAUAGUCGAACCAUUUGUAGAAGAAUUAAAAGAUUCAAACAGUGCACAAUUUAAGACUCUUGAGGCAAAAGUUGUCGCAGUGUAUAAUGUUAUCUACAAGAAAAGAUAUGGCCUCCUCUUCAUCCGCACUUUUGUCAUAGCUUUUAGACAAGCUGUGACCAGAACACGAAUGGAAAAUACUGAAGCAGAGGUGGGGGUUGAGUUCAACAAUACUGCAUCGUCUACUGAUAUCCCACAGUCGGGUGAUGUGGCAGACACCUUAAUAGAAGCUGUGUCUAACUCCAGCAACAACUUCAACCUCUCUGUUCUGAGCGACUCCAUCAAAGUAGUUCAAACAACUGCAGCCCCCACUUUAAAUACUACAGCUACAACAAAUACAGUGACCAGUGCUGCAACUCCAAUUAUUGCUGCUACAACUACAACAACAAUGGUCGCAACUACAACCACAACAACUCCUUCAACCACUACAUCUGUAGCGACAACUGCUGAGGCAGUCACAAUCAGGCGGCUGACUUUUAGAUCUGCUGGACAGACAUUUAUAAGUGACUUGCUGAAUCCAUCAUCUGCAGCAUUUAUAAGUCGAGCCACACUGAUAAAGUCAACACUUGAACCUUUCUACCGAAACGCAUUUCCUUCAUUCCGCUCCUUGACAGUGAUUUCUUUCAGAAAGGGAUCAAUCAUCAACACCAUGGACCUUCGAUUUGCAUCUACAUCUGUACCUAAUGACACUCAGAUUGGAAAUACUUUGGUCAGCGCAGCUUCAAACAUCACAGCCUUCAACAUUGACACCACUUUCAUUUCUGUGAAUGGCACACAAGUUUCAAGUGGAGUGAGCCACAAGAUCAGUCUCAUCACUGCAUCCUUCCUUGUGCUGUUGUCAUGGCUACUUUCAAGCCAGCAAUAGUGACAGUGCUGAUAUCCAUGUGAAACCCCAUUAUAAACUGACUGCUAUCACUGGUCUAAAAAAGGACAUUGAUCUUAUUAAAAAUCCAAGAAGACCCCUGAGUAUAUGGCUUGGAAAGAACUUCCAGGCAUUUAAUUCGAAGUCGGGAUGACCACACACAUUGAUAACAAAGUUUGACUGCAAUGGCACAUUUUAUUCAAACCUUCAACAUUGUUCAUGUUUUUAUCAAUUCAUCUUAAAAAUCUGGUAUUUUCUCUCUUGGCCUAAUCUCAAGAAGGUCAUCCGUGUUUUUGUUUAAUCUUGGUUAGAUUACUAUAGUUCGUCAUAUUCAGGGUUGAGCUCACACAUUCAGCUGGUACAGAAUGCAGCUGCUGGGCUUUUAACGAAUACCAGAAGACGAGAUAGCCUCUCUUCACUGGUUAGCAGUUAGUUUGAGAAUUUGGCUGAUCACCUUUAAAGCACGAAUUGCUGCUCUCUUUGAGCCAGGUCGCAGUCUCAGGUCCUCAGGCAGGGCUCUGCUAGCUGUUCCUGAAGACUAAAGGUGACCAGGCUCUUGCAGUCAAGGCCCUUAAGCUCUGGAACCUGCUCCCCGAGGAUCUGAGGCUUGCUGAGUCACUNNNNNNNNNNNNNNNNNNNNNNNNNNNNNNNNNNNNNNNNNNNNNNNNNNNNNNNNNNNNNNNNNNNNNNNNNNNNNNNNNNNNNNNNNNNNNNNNNNNNCACACAGAGAUUGUAUCUGCACUUUUACUGGUUGGACACCGUUUGUCACCAUGUAUGACACAAUGAACUUUUACUAUAAAUCUUUUAUUGUCAUAAAAACAUGUUCUGAACUAAAAGUGGAGACAAAGUGAGUUGAGGUGCUUUAACCUCCAUUACAUCCCUGGUUAGCAGGAUGAAGGCGCCCUCUUGUGUAUCUUCCUUUGUCAGUGUGCUCACAGGAGUCACAGUCUGAUGCUGCAUUCAGGUCACGUGGGAAAAGAUUGUAGAGGAGAGAUUACAAUUAUUAUUCAGAUCAACUCUUAUGUUGAAAAUACUAUUUGGGGAUUUGAGGCUACUGGUUCAAAUAUCUCUGCUAAAUGGCCUCGUCCUGCAUUAGAAAAGUAGUCUACGCAGUUAAAACACCCAAAGAGCUGAUAGAACAGUGGCAUCAGGGAGAAGAAAACACUGAAUUUGUUAAACAAAAGUCUAUUAAUUGACAGUUAAAAUCAAUAAAAUACUAAAUACACACAGAGGAUUGUAUAAAAAGUUCAUAAAAGUAUCAGGAAAACUCAUCUCUUAAAUUAAGGAAAUAAUUUGCUCCAAAUUCCUCCAAACUGCUCAUUUUACACAAACUUCCUGCAGUUAUUGUGUUCACUGUGGUUAUUGUACCGUGUAUCAGUUGUUCUGUACUCUUACUGUUAUGCAUUGAAUAUAACAUGAAUGAUCCAUAAAAUAUGUCACUUAGUUUACUCAAUGAUAGAAAGGGGGUCCAAGCACAGAUUGAGAGCAUGUGUGCAAUAGAAACAUAGAUACUUGGUGCAGUGUACUGAUAGUGUUUGACAAGAAGUAGUACUGCAGUAUCUCACCAUAUCAAUGUUGUAUCACAGAGACUCUUUGUAGUGAAGGGAAAUAAUAAAAAGAGUGCACAAGUUCCUCAGUGUAGAUUGUCCUCUGUAAUUAAAAUAAGAAACAGCAGGUGGAGCCAGACACACACAGACAGACAUCAGUGAAUCAGUCAUCACUGCUGUUAUCAUUGAACCAGGUCAGCUUCAAAUGGAACAAUCUCACCUAAAACCAAUGGCUUUUCUGGGUCAUUUUUAAAUACUUUGUCUAACUUUUAUUUAUGGACUAUAUUUAAGUAACAUUUACACAACAUUUUACAUCAUUUUUCUGCAGUUUAAAUUGCCUAAAUUUGUUCUUAAUGUUUUUGUUUAUUGAAACAAUGACUUUAAAAAAAAAAUUGUUUAAUUUAACAACCCAUUUAUUUUUCUUAAGUGAAAAACUAUUUUUUUCAAUAAAACAUUUUCCAGCAAGUUUGCAUGGCAAAAACAACAACAAGGUAUAGUUCACCCUGUUAUAUAGUUAUAGUAUAGUUAGGUAUAGUUUUUUGUUAUUAUUUACUCACCCCUUUGUCAAUAGAAGGAUUGGUGAAGUUUUGUUAACAUCCGUGUUCUUCUGCGAGUUUGAGAGACCUUUUUUCCACUCAACUGCAGUGAGCGGUAUCUUAGCAUCAAAAGUCCCAAAAAUACAUCAAUAAUCAAUAAAAUGUCUCCAUACUGCUUGUCUGAGGUAAUCCAAGUGUCCUGUAGCUCACACAUGCCAAGACGUUUGUACAAAACAUAACAAACUUGUGUUUUCAGCUGUGUUUGCUCUGCUGCUCUUCCAAUGCGUGCUCCUUCCAACGCCGCACACAAACUUACACACUACUAACUUCCAGCUAGCCCAUCCGUGUUCACGCAGCACCACAGUGGAAGCAAAGCAGAGCAAACAAAGCCAAAACACAAUUUUGUUCUGUUUUUCAAAACAUCUAGGAAUGUGUAAGCUGCAGGACACUUGGAUUACUUCAGAUGAGCAAUAUGGAGACAUUUUUUGGAUGUUUGAAGCCAAGUUGCCGUUCAAUGCAGUUUUGUGAGAAACAAACAUCUCGGCAAACUCCCAGAAGAGCAUGAUGAGUCCUUCUAUCGGCAUCGGGGUGAGUAGACGAUGACAGAAAUUUCAUCUUAGGGUGGCUAAAAUGGGUUUGAGGUAGCUUGUUAAAGGCACAAGGACAAGUUCAGGAACUGUUUGCAUAGAGCAUACGUAGCCUAUCGUUUGGAGAGGCUUUUUAACCUUAAACUCUGGAAAACAUUUGACAUGCUGGUGCAUCUUAAAAGACAUGCUUACUAUUCCUUUUUAUCUUAAAGAACAGUGUUUUGCUCUGAGGUUCUAAACGUCUGUUUCUGUAUCAUGAGUAAUAUCCUACAAAAAGCAGAGCAUCUUGACACUAAAAAGUGCGAUAUUUGGCCCCUCGCUCUUUUCAUGCCCACACUCACAUCCGUGACCCAU